UACGUAGGGUGCGAGCGUUGUCCGGAUUUAUUGGGCGUAAAGAGCUCGUAGGCGGUCUGUCGCGUCGGAUGUGAAAACCCAGGGCUCAACCCUGGGCCUGCAUUCGAUACGGGCAGACUAGAGUACGGCAGGGGAGACUGGAAUUCCUGGUGUAGCGGUGGAAUGCGCAGAUAUCAGGAGGAACACCGGUGGCGAAGGCGGGUCUCUGGGCCGUUACUGACGCUGAGGAGCGAAAGCGUGGGGAGCGAACAGG
rnacentral:rRNA from 1 species